CCUAAACAUACACAUUUGUUGAUGCACACACAGCCAGAGACACACAUACUGAGAGAUAGUCAGACACACACACGCACAGUGAAAGAGACUGUCAGACACACGUUGACAGUCAGACACACAUUGACAGACAGAGACAGAUAGACAGACAGAGACACACACAUUCAGACACACUCACAAAGUACUAUUAAUACACUCAAAUAUAUACACACACAAACAAACAUUCAUAUAUAUACACACAGACAAAUACACAGAGACAUACACAGAUUUAAAAAAAAAAAUUUUUAGUCGCCCUCCUGUUUCCUACCUUUUGGGUUUCUUUUAUAGGUUUCUGGGGUAUAAAUAAAACAUGAAAUAAUUGAAGUAUCUUCUUUGGAACUGGCUGUAAGAGGAAUAGUACAGAAAAGGUAUUCUAGUUUUGGGAGUAGAUAUGCUCUAAUAAUAUUUAUUCUUCCAAGCCAGGAUAUUUGUAUUUUAGACCAUUUUGAAAUCGUAUUUCUAAAUUCUUCUAGAAGUAUGUUGUGACAGAUUCAUCUGCAUUGUUGGUUCGUCUGUUUCCCUUUGUUCGCGGAAUUGCCUGUUCAUAUACCCCCGUUCGUAUAAUUUGCAA